ensembl:lncRNA
CUUCAUUACUUUUAUACUCUCUUUGUGCUCUCUCUCUCUCUCUCUCUCUCUCUCUCUCUCUCUCUCUCUCUCUGUUGAUCCGUGACAGCAGAACCAGUGCAAUCUCCACAGCUUCGUCCCCUGGCCACUCCAGUCAGAGUGUGGGGAGACUGGCUCUGAUAGAGGAAAUGAUCGAGAGAAAGACACAACAAAGGAGAGGAAGAGGAACUGCCAGGAGGACGGUGCAGGGUCGCUCAUGAAUGAGACUCGGUCUCAGACCUCGGCUUUGAUGCGCGCCAGAAACAGAGCGGAUUAAACUUAAAGCGCCGAGAAUUCUCACACAGCUGCCCCGGUAACGACGACGACAACAACAACAAGAACUACAACAACGACGACAGGGAACAACAACAAUAACUAAAAGCCAAGCCGUCGCCAUGGUUACCGCAGAAAAGAAUGCUUAAUAGCGCCGACAGCAACAGUGAAACAACAAUGGAGGUGAAAAUCUGACGGGUGGGAGGAUAAGGGGAUGAAUAGAGCGAGGGGUCGCUGGGUUGCAGGAGCCACGGAUUGAGCGGAUGAGUGUGUGUCUGUGACGGCGCAGUGGUGUGUGUGUGUGUGUGUGUGUGUGUUGUAAUCCGUCUCGCCGCGCCUUGUUAGGGUCCGUCAGAACACAUCCGGAUAAACGUCCCCAGGAAAAUAAUGGCCAAAGAGAAGGAGGCCAGCACUCUGGAGGCACACAGAGAGAAAGGAGGCUUUACAAACAGAGCUGCAGCUCAGCUGGCUCAGGGUAGGAUGAAGGUGUCAGAGGCCUGACCGCAGUGGCCUGUGGCUGGGACACGGGUGCAGCAGAGCUGGCUGGAGAGGGCCUGGAGGCUUUGGAGGACUAUUUGGUGCUAAUGCACUCCGGUGACCCUGCUUAGCCCGGUCCCCACAUCACUGGGGCUGGACCACUGAUAGACAUACGAGAGACGACUGAGAGAGAGAGAGAGAGAAGGACUGAGAGACAUCAGAGAGACGACUGAGAGAGAGAGAGAGGACUGAGAGAGAGAGAGAGAAGGACUGAGAGACAUCAGAGAGACGACUGAGAAGGACUGAGGGACGGUGAGAGAGAGAGAAGGACUGAGAGAGAGAGAAGGACUGAGAAAGAGAGAGAGAAGGACUGAGAGACAUCAGAGAGACGACUGAGAGAGAGAGAGAGGGGGA